GAACCGAGCGGGACACGGCGGCGCACGAAUGCAACGCACCUUCAGCAGCUUCCCUUCUGUGUUUGCUGUGAGCGGCGCUUUGAUGUAACGGUGCAGCCCGGCCCAGCUGUCUCAACCAGUAAAUGGGCUGGAGUUGAGUUUACUGGAUUUCCUUCGCCUGACUGAUAAAUUGUCGCAAGAGUCUGUGACCAGAUCUACAUCCCUAUUUGGCCAAUUGGAAUCAGAGAAUUAAGAGGGAAAAGCUGGUUGGAUCCAUGACACCAGAUAGCUCAUUUCACCUGGCCCAAGAAAGAACCCAGAGGGAGCAAAGUGGACUGGUUCACCAGCAGCAGAAGAUCCAGGCCCAGGAGGGCUCAGACAUGAAGGUGCUCUGUAAACAUUGGACUCGCUUCAGUGGCACACACCUGGGAGCAAUGACAGGCCACCCGCCGCUAGCUGCUCUCCAACCCGCCAGCCUACAUCUUGCUUUCUUCUAAAGGAAUAAGAGACGCGGGGCCUGAUCUAUCCACAGGGGUGGAUUAUAGAGGAGUUUCGUGCAGAGCAGAGGAGGCUAAUGCACUAAUGUACCUUCCUGUGGCAUUUAAAAGAAGCUUGAGUGUGUAACUAUGUGUUGUGGGUUUGUGUGUGUGCAUGUGUGUGUGUUUCAGUCACAUCUCGGAGUCUACUUGUCGUACUAAACAGCCCUGCAGAACUCUUCUGUACAUUAACUGACAAAUUGUCACUUAAUCUGUCUCGCCUUUCUUGAAACGAUGCUUUCAAAUGCUGCCCUGGAAAUCGCCCCUGUGCAGACUCUCGGCUGUAUCAAGCACCCUCUCAUGCUACCUUGGGGGUUCUCCAAAGCCCCUCUUAGUACCCUCAUCACCAAGACUGUACCCUACCUUUACAGCUUCUUUGGUGACAGAAUCAGGACAGCUCCGUCGUCAGCGGCAUCAAAGCGGCAGCGAGAUGGCGAUGGAUUAAUAAGUAAAGAAAAGUGUGACAGAACAAGAGAGGCGCCUUGAUCGCACAGAGGCUGGAAGUCACCUGGGGCCUUCAAGGGAGCAGAGGAAGUUUCCAAACCUGUUUGUUUUGGAGAGUUCCCAUGCAUGAGUGUCUCACCACUCCAGGAACAGCAGGAGCAGAGGAGACGAGGAGGAGGAGGGGAGGAUGGACUGUCGCUUCUGUAGCUGGCACACAGAAGUUUGAAGAGCUAAAGAAGCCAUGUGCUCACGCCUGCGUUCCCCCCAGCACGCCGCUGUUCAUUAUUCCACCAAUCUGUCAGCUCCCACUGCUGAAUCAUCGCGACGACGCAGGAGGAGGGCGCCCAAGCGUCUCGAUGCUGUACAGUGAUUUUUGAUGUUUAAAGAGGUGAAGGGCUCAUUGAUUGUAAGCACAAUUUGAACAACACACAUUGAUAUGCAUGAGAAAAGACUUCAGGCUUUGUGCUCUGGAAUAAAAAUCCAUCAUGGCACUUUGGAUUUUGAAUGUUCUUUAUAUUUUGCCCUUUUGUCUUUUUCCAGACCUGCUCUAAUUCCUAAGUCUCUUCCAUUCUGUUGCUUCUGCUCUCUGUGAUUCAGAGGUGUGCAGCUAAUGAGUAAAAGUGCUCUGUUACUUUGCUAAGUUAGAGUUUUCAAGUAUCUGUGCUUAACUCCACGUUUUCUUACAAAUUUGUUCUCCAAUGUUUGUUCUUGUCUCUUCUUUAAUUAAAAAAUAGGCACUUAA